UGGGGAAUAUUGGACAAUGGGCGCAAGCCUGAUCCAGCCAUGCCGCGUGAGUGAUGAAGGCCCUAGGGUUGUAAAGCUCUUUCACCGGUGAAGAUAAUGACGGUAACCGGAGAAGAAGCCCCGGCUAACUUCGUGCCAGCAGCCGCGGUAAUACGAAGGGGGCUAGCGUUGUUCGGAUUUACUGGGCGUAAAGCGCACGUAGGCGGACUAUUAAGUCAGGGGUGAAAUCCCGGGGCUCAACCCCGGAACUGCCUGAUACUGGUAGUCUUGAGUUCGAGAGAGGUGAGUGGAAUUCCGAGUGUAGAGGUGAAAUUCGUAGAUAUUCGGAGGAACACCAGUGGCGAAGGCGGCUCACUGGCUCGAUACUGACGCUGAGGUGCGAAAGCGUGGGGAGCAAACAGG
rnacentral:rRNA from 1 species